AAGAACACUUAGCUAACUAACAGCGCCGCAUGCUGUCCCUUGUCUUUUGGCAAAUAAAAGUUUAUGUUCAAGACGUUAAUUUGCCUGUUCAGUUUCUAUCUUAAGAGACCACUGAGAGCAGAAGAGGAGACUAAUGCUGGAAGAUCAUCGACUGGAUCACAGAAAACCAACACAAAGCUACCACGAGUUAGCAGCUAGCUUUAAAUGCCGGGGCCUGCCUACGGUCAUCACGACGCUGUGAUUAUCAGAAGAUUUUAAGCAACCAUGCCGGCUGCCUUAACAGUUGUUAAAUCACUGAAUCCUCCAUCUGAUCAGUUGGUUGAGCGCGUGCCUGCAGUUGAUUCACAUCAGCCUGAUCCUUAUCCAGAGGAUCAUUCUUUCUUUUAUUGAGUCAAGAAUAUUGUUACAUAUGAGUGUGUUCUGUUUGUAAGUGAACAUUUAUAUUUUAAUAGAGCUUGUUGCUGUUGAAUAUAUUACACAUAUGCUCAUAGUGAUCAAUAUUUAUCAAUGCUUAUUAAACACGUAAUCAAUAGCUAAGGUUAAUUACAUGAUAUCUAUAUAUUCAAACACUUCUGAAAUAUAUGUUUGUAUGCUUUUGAACUGUGUAUUGUGUGUACCAAAUUAAAGGUAUGUUAUGUUUAUGAUUAUAUUUGCUUUUGUUUCAAGAUUUGCUUUUGCUUUAGUAGUUCAGUUUCUUAGCAUGCUGUUAUAAAGAUGAUUUACUUACAUAAUCAUUUUCAAAGUGUUGUAAAUGUGAUGUGUCCCUGUUUCGGUGAGGCCCUGAAGAUACAUUGAGAAAUAUGUUGCAAACAGCAUAUGGAACAGGAUGCCAAUACUGACCACAAACAGUCAGAUAAGGAGACUAAACUUGAUACACGGGUAUGAUUAGACUUGUUUGUUAGAAUAUUGUGCAAUUUUGAGAUGUGCUAAUAUUCUUGUGGUAUACCCGCGUGAUGAGACUUGCUGACAGUCUUUCAGUUUGCAGUUUUCUGGCCCAAAACAAUUUCCUAUCAGUUUAGGCACAGGUGUCACUUUAGGAGAAAGAGGAAGCAAGAACACUCCAUGGCACGUGUGGGCAGGACCAAAGCCACGAAGAAGAGGGAUGGAGACCACUCAGAUGAAGGGCAACGCCUAAGAUUAGCAUGAAUCAUUGUAUUAGUAUAGGAAGACAGGAGUAUAAAAACUUGUGUGACUGUUACCUAAUUAGCAUGGAUCAGGCCAACUGGAUUGGUAAAGGUAAAUGUAGACCUAAAUGUAAAUUUGUUGGGUCAACAUGAUGAAUUUGUGUUACUGUUACCUAAUUACCAUGAUUCAGGCCAACUAGAUUUG